rnacentral:piRNA from 1 species
UGCUUUUUUCAACUCUAGAAU